ensembl:lncRNA
AUAUGACUGCAUGUAUAUAUGGUACUCACGGUGACACAGGAGACAGAUCCCUUCUCUGGUCGUUGCAGAAUGUCCAGCAGGGAGAGGACAAUGAGUCAUUUGUAGUUGCCAUGGAUGCUGUUGAACUGGGAGAACUGAACAAAGUUGUUCUUUUAAUCAGCAGUAAAGCAGACUGCAAACUGGAUGUUAAAAGAUUGCAUUUAAAGGAAGCUCUAAAGGAUAAUCCUAUCUAUGUAUUUGAAGUGAAUGAAGCAUUUUCUGUGGAUGCAAACAACCCUGAAAUACAGAAAGAAAUACCAGUAUCUUUUGUUAUUAAAGGAGACAAAAGGAAGAAUGGCAUAGAUAACAACUCACACAAAGAAGGAAGUCAAGCAAGAAAUCUGACAGAGUAUACUAUUAGAGUGUAUACAGGUGACAAAAGGGGAGCAGGAACUGAUGCCAAUGUGCAUAUUAUUUUAUUUGGAAAUGAAGACAAAUCUGAGGUGUUUCAGCUCUCUCAGCCACUGGAGCAUCAAGAUCCCUUUGAAAGAGGAAAGGUGAGGAUAUAAAUUUUAUAAGAUGUGUCCAUUUCUGGAUUGGGAAUAUAUACAUUAC